rnacentral:misc_RNA from 1 species
GAACGCAUAUUGCGCUCGAGGCCUCGGCCAAGAGCAUGUCUGCCUCAGCGUCGGGUUUCAACUCAUGUCCUUCAUCCACUGCCCAAGCAAUUGAGUGGUCGGAUGGGGACGUGGACUUGGCAGUUUCCCUUGUGCCACAUCAGGCACGAGGGGAUCUGCUUAAACGGUAUGUCGCCUCGCCUCUCCUCCAUGAGUCGCAGCCGAGUAGUCAACUCGUUUGAUUGCUCAUCAGUCUGUGGUGACUUGGUCGUUGAGGGCGGUUCGCUUCGGUGAGCUGUUAAGUUGCGACGUGAUCAAGGAAACCCCACACAUUCUCGACCUGAGCUCAGGCAAGAUUACCCGCUGAACUUAAG